AAUAUUGGACAAUGGGGGCAACCCUGAUCCAGCCAUGCCGCGUGAGUGAAGAAGGUCUUUGGAUUGUAAAGCACUUUAUGGUGGGAGGAAGGGCAUUAGGCUAAUACCCUCAAGUUCUGACGUUACCAACAGAUUAAACACCGGCUAACUCUGUGCCAGCCGCCGCGGUAAUACAGAGGGUGCAAGCGUUAAUCGGAAUUACUGGGCGUAAAGCGCGCGUAGGUGGUUCAGUAAGAUGGGUGUGAAAUCCCCGGGCUUAACCUGGGAACUGCUUUCAUAACUGCUGAGCUAGAGUACGGUAGAGGGUAGUGGAAUUUCCUGUGUAGCGGUGAAAUGCGUAGAUAUAGGAAGGAACACCAGUGGCGAAGGCGACUACCUGGACUGAUACUGACACUGAGGUGCGAAAGCGUGGGGAGCAAAC
rnacentral:rRNA from 1 species